AUGUAGAGAGUAGGAUGAGAAAAUAUUACAAUGCAAAAAUUUCAAUAGAUUUAUAGCAUGGGUAUUAUGCACUUAUCAUUCAAAAAUGUUGAACGUAUAUAUUUGGGAGCUCUUAAGAAUUAAAAGAGUGUAUUUUUUAAAAACAAGCAAACAAAUAAACAAAAAAACUAUAAACUCAAUUUAUUCCUAAAUGAGAAUAUGUUUCUAUUACCAGAAUCCUAGAGCAGAGGCCCAAUUCUGAGGAUUCUGAUAAAUCAGGUCCAGCCACUUACCCCAAAGAUGAAACAGAAAAAAAAGAGUGGUGAAAGACUGAAAGAAAUUUUUUUUCAGUAUAGCUUUAUAGGCAAGACAAGGGAGGAUCAAGUGCCCUGUCUUCAUGGUGCUAAAAUGAGCUUCAGGUUUAACUAGAGGAAGAAUUCAGGCAGAGGUGAGAGGUAUGCAGAAUAAAUAGUCUUGGUUCAAUGGAGAUCUAGUUGAUCAUAUCUCAGUUCUGGUUUCUGCAAGGUGACUCUGCAGAAGUCUUGCUAUUUGAGGGGGCAACUUGUUUCCCAUAAGAUGAUUUCUUCUGCUUAGGAGGACAGUUUCUGUUCCCACCUAGGUAAUUGCUCCCUCUUAGUCUCAUCAAGGGAGAUGGGCCUGAAAGACCUGCUGCUCCUAGAUAGUUUAGGGCUACGACAGGAGACUUCUAGGCACUUCUUUGAUGGUUGGAGAACAAGACAUUUUCAGGCCUGGUUGACAAUGUGUGCUAUCCCUGCAAACUUUGAAAAUACUACAGUUACUCUUACUUUGAAGUCUUCAGCAUUGAAGGGGGAGGAUUACCAGCUUUCGAUGAACACAUCUUAAAUGAUUAACUUGCCUAUGUGCAGAGCUGAGCAAGCAUCUGAUACAAGGUUUUAAAGCAAUAAAGGGGACAGAUCCAAGUGAAGAGUCAGUGUUUUUAGCAAAAGCAACCUCUAAGUCCAUGCUAUAUUUCUUCUUAUUUAAUGGGGACAAGAAACUCAUGACCAUUUUUUUUUUUUACACAAUCAAAAUAUAUUGAAAAUUUAGUGCUUGGUGCUACAAAGAUUCAUGGAGACAGUAGGGGGCACAACAUUGUUCAAUAUCCUUCAUAAUGCACAACACUAUAUCAAUCAGAUAUCUUCUGGCCCAAAUUCACAAACAAGCACUAUUUGAAUACCCUGAUAUUAAUGUCACAGAACAAUAAAAAGAUCAUGUGUAGAAUCUAAUCUAACCAUGUCAUUUUUUAACAUUUAUAUGAACUUUUUAUUUUAGAAUACUUUGAAAUUUACAGAAACAAUGCUAUGAUAGUACAGAGACUUUUUCUCAUAUACCUCAUAUCUAAUUUCCUCUAAGAUUAACAUCUUCCACAAAUAUGGUCCUUCAGGAACUAGAGGAAUGGCUUCCCUUCACCCUGUGAAGAUUCAUUGAAGUGAAUUGACAAUAGGCAGUUUAAUGCAAGAAAAACAUGUACAAAUUUAUUAACAUGCACAGGAAAAAUCAUAGCAGGGGGUCAAAUAAAAAGUAUGAAUCUCCC
rnacentral:lncRNA from 1 species